GUAAUGGGCCGUGUGCACACCUGUGCAGACCCCUGCCUGGGCAUUGGCGGUGGCCGAUAUGUGAGUUGCCUGCUACUGUGUGUGUGAUACCUGGGUCGGUCCCUGCCCAGGUCAGGGACUGCCUGAGGGGAUGACCCUCCUGUCGUCCCCACCACCGUGCUACAAUACAGUCAGUCGGAACCGAGCGGUGGUGUGUCGAUGGUGGGCCGCGAGACAUAACAUUGGCGACGAGCGGAGUGAGGACGGAGCCAUGCCGUUGGGGAAGAUUGAAGAAUUUCACCAAGGACAAGAUAACUGGGAAGAGUAUGCGGAAAGGUUGGACCAAUUCUUCGUGGCUAAUGACAUCCAGGACGAUGCUAAGAAGAGGGCCAUUCUUCUCAGCAGCAUGGGAGCUCGGACAUACGGUACGGUAAGAUCGCUGUUGUCACCGAAGAAACCAAAUGAGGUGACGUAUGUCAUGAUUGUUGAAACAUUGAGCAAGCAAUUUUGUCCGCCCACAUCGGUAACUGUCGCAAGAUAUCGGUUCUUUUCCUGUUGUCGAGUACAGUCAGAGUCUGUUCAGGAGUUUGUGGCGCGCCUGCGACAGCUGUCACGGGAUUGCAAAUUCGAAUCGUUUCUUGAUCAAAUGAUCAGAGACCGGCUGGUGUGUGGAGUUAACUCUGACCCCAUUCAGCGCAGGUUGCUGGCAGAAGCUGAGCUGACUUUGCCGCAGGCAAUCAAGAUUGCUGUGGCAACGGAAACAGCAGGUCAAAACCUACAGGAGCUGGCAGGAGCUGGCCAGCCGGUGGUGUCCGCUACGGGGGAGACGGCAGUGAACCGUGUCCGGACGGGCCCGUCAGCCUCACAGCGGACCAGCCAGGAGCGACACAACGCCAGUAAGCAAGCGCGGCAUGAAGGUGAGAGAUGCUGGCGCUGUUUGAACAGAACGCACUCUGAAUCCGAAUGCUACUUUAAACGUAAGCGCUGCUUCCAGUGUUCCAAGUACGGGCAUACUUCGGCCGCUCACCGGGCAGGGACGGUGAAACAUGUUGGGUCGGAGGUGGUCCGUCAGGAGGAGGGCGAUGGUGCAGGAUCUGGGGAAGAGCAGAGUGUGAUGGAGGCAGACACUGAAGAAUGUGACUUUAUCGGGGAGGUUUUUCAGUGUCGGGAGCGGAUUCAUGUGGUGAAAAGCCGGCCUCCGAUCAUGCUGGACAUGUCGCUGGAUGGGCGUGAUGUCAGGAUGGAGCUUGACACGGGUGCAUCUGUAUCCGUCUGUUCGUUCAGCAGGUUUCAAGAGCUCUGGCCGGAGAAGAAACGCCGUCUGCAGCCGUGCAGCCUCAUCCUACACACCUUCUCAGGCGAGCCUUUGAAGGUCCGAGGUGAGGUACAGAUGGACGUGGUGUACCGGGGAGAGUCGUUUAGCCUGUCCCUGGUAGUAGUUGAUGGGACAGGGCCGCUGCUCUUCGGCAGGAACUGGUUGGAGAGCAUCAGACUGGACUGGAGAACCAUCUGCAUGGUGACGACGCAGACGCUGGGAAGCGGAGUUGAGUCUGUGCUGCAUAAGUACUCUGAUGUGUUUGCGGAUGAGUUGGGAUGUGCGAAGGGGAUUGUGGUAGAUAUCCCGAUUGACCCAGACACACGCCCCAUCUUCUACAAGCCCAGACCGGUACCGCUGGCGUACCGUGCUGCUGUCGACGCCGAGCUGGACCGUCAGAUCCGGGCCGGGCUGCUGGAACCGGUGAAACACUGCACGUGGGCUGCACCGAUCGUCACUGCACUGAAGGCGUCAGCAGGAUCCGAACAGGAACAUCUGCAGCGGCUGGAGGAGGUUCUGAGACGUCUGUCGGAGGCAGGACUGCGACUGCAGCGGAAGAAGUGUCAGUUCGCGGCAUCAGAAGUGGUGUAUCUGGGACACCACAUCACGGCAGAUGGUAUCAAACCAACAGCAGACAAGGAUCGCCCCAGCUGCCCGUUCCAGCUGAGACGGUGCACCUGAUGCAGUUCUUCGACUCGUCACCGGUCACCGCUGAGUCCAUCCGUCUGUUCACCGCCAGGGAUCCUGUGCUGAGUGCCGUUCUGCGCUUCACCAGAGAGGGCUGGCCGUCGGGCGACCUCGUGAUGCCAGAGCUGGUACAGUACCGAAGCAAGGAAGGUCUCCGGACUGGCCGGCGUCGGACGGGGAACACGCUGGCUCCCGGGACACUGCGUGAGCCGCUCUGGAUCCAAGAUCACUGUUCGUCUGGAGGACGGCCGCGUGAUACAGCGCCACCUAGACUUCGUGGUGCCCAGCGGGUCUAGCCGUCAGAUGGAGCUGCCCGAUGAGCCGACGCCGUCCAUGCCGCCGGGUUGGAUGCAGCCGCUUCCGCCUGGGACACCGCUUUCCGAGGAGGGAAGAGGACGACUCGCCGCACCAGCGGAGAGGGAUCCCGCGGCCGGGGGGCCGCCGGGGACCAGGGCCGCGUCCGCGGCGCCGCUGCCCUCGCCGCCGCCGUCUGCGGAUCCAGGGACCACUCAGCCGGGGGACGCCGAGACGCCGCCGCCGUCCCCGCCGCGGCCGCCGUCUGCGGCUCAGUGUAGCACUCAGCCGCAGCCUGAUGAUCCGCCGCGUCGCUAUAACUUGAGGCCGAGGCCGAUACUAAGAAAAUAGGGUGGAGAGGUGUUAUGUAAUGGGCCGUGUGCACACCUGUGCAGACCCCUGCCUGGGCAUUGGCGGUGGCCGAUAUGUGAGUUGCCUGCUACUGUGUGUGUGAUACCUGGGUCGGUCCCUGCCCAGGUCAGGGACUGCCUGAGGGGAUGACCCUCCUGUCGUCCCCACCACCGUGCUACAAUACAGUCAGUCGG
rnacentral:misc_RNA from 1 species